rnacentral:rRNA from 1 species
AACGCGAAGAACCUUACCUGGGCUUGACAUGCAUCUCUAAGGCGGUGAAAGCCGUUGAGUCCCGCAGGGGACAAUUUGCACAGGUGCUGCAUGGCUGUCGUCAGUUCGUGUCGUGAGAUGUUGGGUUAAGUCCCGCAACGAGCGCAACUCCUGUGAUCUGUUGCUAACCGGCUUGUCCGGAGCACUCUGGUCAGACUGCCCUGUGAAACGGGGAGGAAGGUGGGGAUGACGUCAAGUCAGCGUGGCCCUUACGCCUAGGGCUGCACACGUACUACAAUGCUCAAUACAGAAUGAACCGAAACCGCGAGGUGGAGGAAAUCCCUAAAACUGACCCCAAUUCGGAUCGCAGGCUGCAACUCGCCUGCGUGAAGCCGGAAUCGCUAGUAAUGGCGCAUCACCUACGGCGCCGUGAAUACUUUCCCGGGCCUUGUACACACCG